rnacentral:rRNA from 1 species
AGUGAACGCUGGCGGUAGGCCUAACACAUGCAAGUCGAACGGCAGCACAGUAAGAGCUUGCUCUUACGGGUGGCGAGUGGCGGACGGGUGAGGAAUACAUCGGAAUCUACUUUUUCGUGGGGGAUAACGUAGGGAAACUUACGCUAAUACCGCAUACGACCUACGGGUGAAAGCAGGGGAUCUUCGGACCUUGCGCGAUUGAAUGAGCCGAUGUCGGAUUAGCUAGUUGGCGGGGUAAAGGCCCACCAAGGCGACGAUCCGUAGCUGGUCUGAGAGGAUGAUCAGCCACACUGGAACUGAGACACGGUCCAGACUCCUACGGGAGGCAGCAGUGGGGAGUAUUGGACAAUGGGCGCAAGCCUGAACCAGCCAUACCGCGUGGGUGAAGAAGGCCUUCGGGUUGUAAAGCCCUUUUGUUGGGAAAGAAAAGCAGCAGGUUAAUACCCCGCUGUUCUGACGGUACCCAAAGAAUAAGCACCGGCUAACUUCGUG